GAUGAACGCUGGCGGCGUGCCUAAUACAUGCAAGUCGAGCGAACGGACGAGAAGCUUGCUUCUCUGAUGUUAGCGGCGGACGGGUGAGUAACACGUGGAUAACCUACCUAUAAGACUGGGAUAACUUCGGGAAACCGGAGCUAAUACCGGAUGAUAUUUUGAACCGCAUGGUUCAAAAGUGAAAGACGGUCUUGCUGUCACUUAUAGAUGGAUCCGCGCUGCAUUAGCUAGUUGGUAAGGUAACGGCGUACCAAGGCAACGAUGCAUAGCCGACCUGAGAGGGUGAUCGGCCACACUGGAACUGAGACACGGUCCAGACUCCUACGGGAGGCAGCAGUAGGGAAUCUUCCGCAAUGGGCGAAAGCCUGCCGGAGCAACGCCGCGUGAGUGAUGAAGGUCUUCGGAUCGUAAAACUCUGUUAUUAGGGAAGAACAUAUGUGUAAGUAACUGUGCACAUCUUGACGGUACCUAAUCAGAAAGCCACGGCUAACUACGUG
rnacentral:rRNA from 1 species